UACCAGCACCCCGAGUGGUCGGGACGAUUAUUGGGCCUAAAGCAUCCGUAGCCGGUUUUACAAGUCCUCCGUUAAAUCCAGCUGCUUAACAGAUGGGCUGCGGAGGAUACUAUAAGACUAGGAGGCAGGAGAGGCAAGCGGUACUCAGUGGGUAGGGGUAAAAUCCGUUGAUCCAUUGAAGACCACCAGUGGCGAAGGCGGUUUGCCAGAAUGCGCUCGACGGUGAGGGAUGAAAGCUGGGGGAGCAAACCGG
rnacentral:rRNA from 1 species